AGCAGCCGCGGUAAUUCCAGCUCCAAUAGCGUAUAUUAAAGUUGUUGCAGUUAAAAAGCUCGUAGUUGAAUUUCGGGAUCAAUUUAUUGGUCGUGCUAUUGUACGUACUGGUAUUAUUGAUUCCUACCUUCUGACGAACCAUGAUGUCAUUAAUUUGGUGUCAUGGGGAAUCAGGACUGUUACUUUGAAAAAAUUAGAGUGUUUAAAGCAGGCUCACGCUUGAAUACAUUAGCAUGGAAUAACGAAAUAGGACGUUUGAUUCUAUUUUGUUGGUUUCUAGGAUCGACGUAAUGAUUAAUAGGGAUAGUUGGGGGCAUUAGUAUUCAAUUGUCAGAGGUGAAAUUCUUGGAUUUAUUGAAGACUAACUACUGCGAAAGCAUUUGCCAAGGAUGUUUUC
rnacentral:rRNA from 1 species